rnacentral:lncRNA from 1 species
GGGGACUUUGGAACGGGGGAACCGGAAGCGUAGACAGCUAGGGCUUAUUCAGUUGUGAUGUGCUGUGGUUUACUGGUUUGAUUUCUGCUGGCCAAGUUCCGGGAAGCAUUGUCGAUGGGCAACGACGACCGGCCGACAGGGAUGGCAAGCGGUAGAAGCGAAUAUACAUGUGUUUCGUUGAUGUCACGAUGUGGAGGAAAGGAUUGUUUGUUGUUGCUCCUGUGAUAUCAGGUCAGCGUAGAUACUUGGAACGAGAUAGGUGGGCGGGCGGUGAGCCAAUUUUCCUCGAAAAAUGAUUAACUUGGGAGGGCAGCAAAACACACGGAGAGGUUAAAGAAUUGGUUGAUGUGCCUUGUUCGACUAUGUUUCUUACGGAGUACUAUCUUAACCAUGUUUAUCAUAUCCGUUGUGACAUGUACACGACAACAGGACAAGUGUCUCCAAGAAAAGUUUUUUUUUUUUGGUCUGAAGAUUUCAGGACGAGUUAUCGUGAAUCAUUGGGCGGUCGUGUUUUGGGAGCCUUCCUUGAACGAUCCAGAUUCAGCCCACGGACAUUGCGUGGGCCGUUUCUUCUUGACCAACAACAAAAGGUGCAAGAAUUGUUUUCGAAGUUGGGCUGUACUACUACCCCGCAAGAAUUGCUCGAGAAUUCGGAUACCUCGCCGGGUCCGAGUAAGCAACGACGACCCCGCCGAGGAC